UACGUAGGUGGCAAGCGUUUGUCCGGAUUUAUUGGGUUUAAAGGGUGCGUAGGCGGAUGCUUAAGUCAGAGGUGAAAGACGGCCGCUCAACGGUCGCAGUGCCUUUGAUACUGGGUAUCUUGAGUGCAGACGAGGUCUGUGGAAUGGAUGGUGUAGCGGUGAAAUGCUUAGAUACCAUCCAGAACACCAAUUGCGAAGGCAGCAGACUAGGGUGCAACUGACGCUGAGGCACGAAAGUGCGGGGAGCAAACAGG
rnacentral:rRNA from 1 species